GAUUAAUGAGUGUAAGUUAGUGUGUGUGUGUGUGUGUGUGUGAGAGAGAGAGAGAGAGAGAGAGAGAAAGAAUGCCUCAGUGUACCACAAAUUGUGAGUGUGUGAGUUUGCAUACUGUACAAGUCCUUGUGUGUGUGUGCGUGUGUGUUUGAUCCGCGGUUUCUAAACCAAACUUUAUUUUGUGGAUUUUCUUUUUUUCAGGGAUCAUCAAAGUAAGUGAUUCCACAGAAGGCUGGCUUUGCAUCUGGGUCACUCUGAAGAAUUCCCCAACACGACAAGGCUGCCGGGAUGUGAUUGCAAUCAAGUGGACGGUGUCUGCAAAAAUAAAAAAAAAAAGAAAGAAAAGAAAAAGAGAAGAAGAAAUGACCCGAAUGAUCCUGAAUCUGUCUCUGUGACUCUUAAAG